GACGUUACUACGCAAUCUACCGGAUGCUCGACCUUUGGAGACUUACUCACCUGUAGUAGAAGGAGUAAACGUGUGUUUAGGAGAAGAAAAAUCAAUGAAGGGUUAGGGUUUGGGAUGCUCAUGCAAAAAGGCAGUCCUUGACGAAGGAACCGCGCUACCUGCGGGGAUACGAACACAUACAAAACAAACAUGUAUAAAGUAGAAUAAAUCUCCCAAAUGGUAUCCCACAAGCAAAGUGGAAUAUCGAG
rnacentral:lncRNA from 1 species